GAUGAACGCUGGCGGCGUGCCUAAUACAUGCAAGUCGAGCGAACAGACGAGGAGCUUGCUCCUCUGAUGUUAGCGGCGGACGGGUGAGUAACACGUGGAUAACCUACCUAUAAGACUGGGAUAACUUCGGGAAACCGGAGCUAAUACCGGAUAACAUGUUGAACCGCAUGGUUCAACAGUGAAAGACGGUCUUGCUGUCACUUAUAGAUGGAUCCGCGCCGCAUUAGCUAGUUGGUAAGGUAACGGCUUACCAAGGCAACGAUGCGUAGCCGACCUGAGAGGGUGAUCGGCCACACUGGAACUGAGACACGGUCCAGACUCCUACGGGAGGCAGCAGUAGGGAAUCUUCCGCAAGGGGCGAAAGCCUGACGGAGCAACGCCGCGUGAGUGAAGAAGGUCUUCGGAUCGUAAAACUCUGUUAUUAGGGAAGAACAAAUGUGUAAGUAACUAUGCACGUCUUGACGGUACCUAAUCAGAAAGCCACGGCUAACUACGU
rnacentral:rRNA from 1 species